CUUCACUGAUCACUGAGCACUGCAUGACAGGAGAUGAUAACCCUCCGGGUAACGCACUUGUUGUCGGUGAUGUAACUGUGCUAAAAGGAAGGGGAAGAUACAGGACUGUCACCUGGCGUGAACAGAGGUCUGUGAGGCUGCCCUGGCUGUUGCGAAUCCCUGUCCCCUACUAGACAGUACUC
rnacentral:lncRNA from 1 species